GCGUUUUCCUCCUCGUCCUCACUUUUCCUUCUCUGCCUUGAUCCGUACUCAUCAUCGUCAUUUUUCCUCCCAUAACCUGAUCCGUAAUCAGAACUUGGCUCAUUGUAUUCCGAGCUCUGUUCAUUAUACUCACUUUCUCCACCAUAACCUCCUCCGCUGGGACGAUUCAUCCCAGGCUUGCGACGAGGGUUCUCAUCUUCAUCCCCAUCCUCAUGGCGGGAACGGGAGGGACGAGUCUUGGGC
rnacentral:misc_RNA from 1 species